GUUCCUACGGGGCGCAGCAGUGGGGAAUAUUGGGCAAUGGGCGCAAGCCUGACCCAGCAACGCCGCGUGAAGGAAGAAGGCUUUCGGGUUGUAAACUUCUUUUGACAGGGAAGAGUAGAAGACGGUACCCGUCGAAUAAGCCACGGCUAACUACGUGCCAGCAGCCGCGGUAAUACGUAGGGGGCAAGCGUUAUCCGGAUUUACUGGGUGUAAAGGGAGCGUAGGCGGUUUAGCAAGUCAGAAGUGAAAGCCCGGGGCUCAACUCCGGGACUGCUUUUGAAACUGUUGAACUAGAUUGCAGGAGG
rnacentral:rRNA from 1 species